CACCUCUUAUUAGGUCUCCAACUGAUCCCUUGACAAGCCAUCCAGAAUGUGCACCCAGAUGCUUUUAUGAGAAAACUCAUUAGGUUGCUCUGUACAAAGAAGCAUAUGCUGAAAGUUGAUGAAACUUCUGCGGUCCCUAAUAACCAGUCUUCCUGCCGUUGUUACUAAAUGUCGCCAGUUGUCUUUCAUUUUUUUCCGGUGGCACUACUGCUUAAUUGAAACCCAUCAAUCAGUUCUAUCAACUUGUCAGAAUGUGUGGAGCUGGGACUGUGCUCAGCACCAGGCUUAGCGUCUUUGAGAUGACAGAAAAGGUAUGUGACACAGUCACUACCUUCAAAGAAUCGAAAGUCUGUUUGGGAACAGUGAAGUGAACACUCAGGGCAUAGUUAUGGGAGAAAUCAGGCUGUGCAGGGCUGAGCUCAAGAGAGCAGGGGCUCUGGAAAGGAGAGAUCCAUGUGGGCUGGAGGAAGAGGCGAGGCUGCUGAGGCACGUGGAAGUGAGUGGGCUCCCCUAGCCCCGACCCAGUCAAGACCAAACCAGGUCCCAGCAUAUCUCUGUGCUCCAAGGUACCAUGAAGCUUGGGGGCCAGCAGAAUUUGAAACAGACUCUUUUCCUCAUAAUCUCAGGCCAUGACCACAUACUUUUGGCUUCGUUUCUUUGGCAAGAGUCGUUUUGUGAGCUGGUUCCUAGAUAAUGAGGACCUGUGAGGAGUCCCGGCCCGCCGACAGCCUCAGCACAGGGUCACUGCCACGUGGGACCCAGGCCAGAGACAUCCUGCCUCCUAGGAAUGGAUUCCAGAGGCCCUGGUCACUGACCAGCACACCUGUGGGUGAGACACAAACCCCCUCCUCCCACACGGAGCCAGCACUGUCUUUGCAUUGUAUAUUUUGUAUAAAAAGAGCUCCAAUGUGGGAGCAUUUCCUUUUUUUGUCUAAAAUUGUCCAGAUUGUUAACACCAUCAUUAUCUGGACCCAGUUAAUUACAUUCAAACUUGCUUUUGUCCUAAGCGAGAGUUAUUUCUGCGACUUCUUACACACAGUUUCCUAAACACAGCGAAGAAAACACUAGCCUGGAUUUCAUCUUCAGCUCCUCAUCUUUACAAAGAAGGUACCAGCUGUUUGUGAACCCGCAGGGCAUUAAACGCGCAGGAGCCUUGGACGGGAGCAUGGAGAGAGAAAUCCACAGGUUCCACCCAGGCUUUCUGAGCAAACAAAACCAGGGAAGGCAAACACAGGCCUUUUGUUCUGACCCCAUGGUUCUAGCCAAGCGCUGCUUCGCUAAGGUUGACCUCACAGAGCUGAAGAGUGUGGCGUGAAUUGCCAAGUUGACUGGGGCCAUCCUGUGUGCCAGGGGACUUGGCCCUCCUCCCAUGGCCAGUUUGCCUCUCACCUUCACACCCUGCCUCGCGGCCCAGGGGCCUCGGCGCAGGUGGGGUGAGGGAGACAUCAGCAGGCUCCAUCUCCCAGCAACAGGGUCGCUUUGAUGGGUGCAGUUUCUGAGCCCGCUCAGCCAAGAUCAGUAAUAGCUUCCUCCUUCUCCUCCCCCACACAGACCUAGAUAUGUUUUCUUCUACAUGUAAGUUAUUGAAAAUAGUCAAAGGCUCAUCAAGACUUUGAAGAAAUUCUUUCUUAUGAACUCUUGUCCUUUUAAUUAGCAGGAAGUAAAUUCAUGUAAAACAGUUUUGCGAUCGCACAAGCAGAUAGGAGGCGAUCAGAAAAUGUGCUUAUCCUCAUCUCCCAGCUUGACUUUCGUAUUGCGGGGAAGUCCUUCAUCCUUCUAUCAACACUUUCUUUAUUCCUGCCUCAAAUCCUGGCUGCUUAUUUAAUCUGAUGAAAGUCUUCUUUGCCUGUGUCUGCUCUAACCCCAGAUAUGUGCAAUCAUAUAAAAUGGAUUCAUGUGUGGCUCUCUUGCUGCUGUGCCUAAGCCUGACAUUCUGGGUCACAUGCACUGGAGAUGCAGGACAGGCUUCUAAACCACGUGAACAGAGAGUGCGGACACACGGCUUGCCUUUAUCUCCGUCCCAGGGUUCACAAGAUCAAUCACAAUAUUGUUCCCGCUGACCCUGGGAGGAAAAGUCAUGAAACCCAACCCAUGCCCCGUCCUCCCAGGGAGUUCGGGAAGAAAAUUGCAGUCAAAGAUUGAAGGAACAAGGACUGGAAGGGGAAUUGUCCCUGGAAACCAAUCUGCAGGCGGCUUCCUUUUCUCCCGAAACAUGCCUUUUUUACUUUUGAGUCGCGGUCUCACUCUGUCAGCAGGGCUGGGACGCAGUGGCAUCCCAAAUUGCUUGGAUUACAGUUGUGAGCCACUGGCUCCCAGGUCCAAAACAUGCCUUUUAUUUUUAUUAUUAUUUAUUAUUAUAUUUAUUU
rnacentral:lncRNA from 1 species